GAUCUUGAUGGUAAAGCUUGUAGG
rnacentral:siRNA from 1 species